rnacentral:rRNA from 1 species
GAUCCCUGGCUCAGGAUGAACGCUAGCUACAGGCUUAACACAUGCAAGUCGAGGGGCAGCAUGGUCUUAGCUUGCUAAGGCUGAUGGCGACCGGCGCACGGGUGAGUAACACGUAUCCAACCUGCCGUCUACUCUUGGCCAGCCUUCUGAAAGGAAGAUUAAUCCAGGAUGGGAUCAUGAGUUCACAUGUCCGCAUGAUUAAAGGUAUUUUCCGGUAGACGAUGGGG